GCUCUCGUCGUUCAAUGGAUAGGAUAUUCCCCUCCGAAGGGAAUGAUGUCAGUUCGAUUCUGACCGAGAGCA
rnacentral:tRNA from 1 species